UACGAAGGGGUCUAGCGUUGUUCGGAAUUACUGGGCGUAAAGCGUGCGCAGGCGGCUUUGCAAGACAGAUGUGAAAUCCCCGGGCUCAACCUGGGAACUGCAUUUGUGACUGCAAGGCUAGAGUACGGCAGAGGGGGAUGGAAUUCCGCGUGUAGCAGUGAAAUGCGUAGAUAUGCGGAGGAACACCAAUGGCGAAGGCAAUCCCCUGGGCAUGUACUGACGCUCAUGCACGAAAGCGUGGGGAGCAAACAGG
rnacentral:rRNA from 1 species